UACGAAGGGGGCUAGCGUUGUUCGGAAUUACUGGGCGUAAAGCGUGCGCAGGCGGCUUCUCAAGUCAGGGGUGAAAGCCCAGAGCUCAACUCUGGAAUUGCCUUUGAGACUGAGUGGCUUGAGUACGGGAGAGGUGAUUGGAAUUCCCAGUGUAGAGGUGAAAUUCGUAGAUAUUCGCAAGAACACCAGUGGCGAAGGCGGCUCACUGGCCCGAUACUGACGCUGAGGCACGAAAGCGUGGGGAGCAAACAGG
rnacentral:rRNA from 1 species